rnacentral:rRNA from 1 species
AUUGAACGCUAGCGGCAGGCCUAACACAUGCAAGUCGAACGAGUGGCGGACGGGUGAGUAAUGUCUGGGAAACUGCCCGAUGGAGGGGGAUAACUACUGGAAAAGGUCGCUAAUACCGCAUACCAUCGGAUGUGCCCAGAUGGGAUUAGCUAGUAGGUGGGGUAACGGCUCACCUAGGCGACGAUCCCUAGCUGGUCUGAGAGGAGGACUAGACACACUGGAACGGAGAUACGGUCCAGACUCAUACGGGAGGUAGCAGUGGGGAAUAGUGCGCAAGGGGCGCAAGCCAGAUGCAGCCAUGCCGCGUGUAUGAAGAAGGCCUUCGGGUUGUAAAGUACUUUCAGCGAGGAGGCGUUACUCGCAGAAGAAGCACCGGCUAACUCCGUGCCAGCAGCCGCGGUAAUAC